rnacentral:rRNA from 1 species
AUUAAACGCUGGCGGCAUGCCUAACACAUGCAAGUCGAACGCGAAAGCUCUUCGGAGUGAGUAGAGUGGCGGACGGGUGAGUAACGCGUGGGAAUCUACCUAAUAGUGGGGGACAACCAGUGGAAACGCUGGCUAAUACCGCAUACGCCCUACGGGGGAAAGACUUCGGUCGCUAUUGGAUGAGCCCGCGUCGGAUUAGCUUGUUGGUAGGGUAAAAGCCUACCAAGGCAACGAUCUGUAGCUGGUCUGAGAGGAUGAUCAGCCACACUGGGACUGAGACACGGCCCAG